rnacentral:rRNA from 1 species
AUACGUAGGUCCCGAACGUUGCGCGAAAUUACUGGGCGUAAAGGGUCCGUAGGCGGUCUGGUAAGUGGAAGGUGAAAGCCUGGGGCUCAACUCCAGAAUUGCCUUCCAAACUGCCGGACUUGAGGCAGGGAGAGGUCGGCGGAAUUCCCGGUGUAGUGGUGAAACGCGUAGAUAUCGGGAGGAACACCAGUGGCGAAGGCGGCCGACUGGAACUGUCCUGACGCUGAGGGACGAAAGCCAGGGGAGCGAACCGGAUUAGAAACCCUAGUAGUCC